CUAAUUGACAGAAAAUAUUUUCAUAUUCCUUUGUGGUUCCAGUAAAUUAAAUAUUUUCCACACCCUGUUAAUUAAUUAGCUAAUAUAGUAUACAUAACAAAUGUAAAUGGUAAAUUUCUAGAAAGGAAGACAGAUCAGCAAGAGAAAUAUUCCAUGGCAGAAUUGGAUAUUACGACCGCCAUUUUGUAUCCCAUAUGGCAACUCGUGCCCAAAGGGAGGAGCUAGACUAUGUUGUUCCUGGAGAUGUUUUCCUGUUUUUGGUUAUCAUAAACCGUAAGUACGGAAUGGAUGAUUCCAGAGCCCCGUUUACACUACGCUCAAAUUUUCGGUACGGCACGGAUAAAAUUGGUACCCGUACCACUACCGCAAAUUUUGUAUUAAUUUGUAUAUACACGCACGGGAAUUUGCACCACUUUCGGCCCAAAUGUGGUGCAUUUUCCCGCGCGUAAUACAAAUUAAUACAAAAUUUGCAAAUUUCGCAGGGCUAUAUUUUCCGCAUUUUACAACAUUUCGCGGCCAAACUUCCCAAUUUUACUAAUUUUAACAUGCUCUUUCUAGCUGUGAUGGAUUUUGUUCUUCUUGCCUAGAUCAAAAUUUAGUCUAUAGCUUCCUGUAUAUUUCAUGUUCAAAUUUAAAUAUCUUUCCAUAUACAUGCACUAUAGGUGCAUUUUUGGGCUGUACUUGCUUCCUCCACGGGUAUCACCUUAGCGGGCGGGCAAGACUUAGUUAGGGAAAAAACCACAUUGAAACCUAUUUUAUUAACGGAGGAGAGGUGGUUGUGUGUAAACCAUGCACGUUUGGCUCAUAUUAACUGUGCGGACGAAGGCCUUUUUCAAAACGUUCAAUACACUGGCUUUUGCAUGUGUUAUAGCUUCAGGGUGACGGAAUUUAACCCAACAGAACUAGAACUCGUUAUCAAAAUGUUCAGUCGAUCUUCAGAGUUUACGCCAAUUUUUCUCUUAUCCAUGUAUUGGUUAAUGUAUAUAUAAGGAAUUGAAUGGAAAUAAGUAAAGUUGGAAAUUUAUCAAAAAGCUUCAUGAUGUGCCGGCAAAGUGGGCUAUAUAUAAGGUCCGUGUGGUUGCAUGAUGAGUCAGUCGCUUGUUUCUAAUUACAAUUUUUUGCUUUCUAUAUAGGUGGCGUUGCGUUUGAGAAGAAACAGUGGCAAACUGGUUGAAAAAUGAUAAUCCUAUGAAUUAACUAUAUAACCCAGAAUCAUACGGUCAGCUAUAUACAUAUAGAUAAUACAUGGCUAGAUAAUGGAAGGAUAUAAUUCCACAAACUCUUUGCACCAGAAUAUGUAAAUUAUCAUAUCACUAAAUAAAUAUACAUAUAUACC